rnacentral:lncRNA from 1 species
UUCACUUCACAGAAACAUCGUUGCAGAUUAUCGCUGAUACGCAGUGACUUGUUCUGCCUAGCGACAGCACUCCCAUCGACUUUCUCAAGUCAAGGUGAAGAGUUGUGUUGAAGG